CGUAGGGUGCAAGCGUUAAUCGGAAUUACUGGGCGUAAAGCGUGCGCAGGCGGUUUUGUAAGACUGUCGUGAAAUCCCCGGGCUCAACCUGGGAAUGGCGAUGGUGACUGCAAGGCUAGAGUUUGGCAGAGGGGGUAGAAUUCCACGUGUAGCAGUGAAAUGCGUAGAUAUGUGGAGGAACACCGAUGGCGAAGGCAGCCCCCUGGGUCAAAACUGACGCUCAUGCACGAAAGCGUGGGGAGCAAACAGGAUUAGAUACCCUGGUAGUCCACGCCCUAAACGAUGUCUACUAGUUGUCGGGUUUUAAUUAACUUGGUAACGCAGCUAACGCGUGAAGUAGACCGCCUGGGGAGUACGGUCGCAAGAUUA
rnacentral:rRNA from 1 species